GUCUACAACCAUGCCAUCCCGAACAAGCCCGAUCCUAUCUGAUCUCGGAAUCUUGGAAGCUAAGCAGGAUUGGGCCUGGUUAGUGCUUAGAUGGGAGACCACCUAGGAAGACCAGCUGCUAUAGGCA
ensembl:rRNA 5S_rRNA 5S ribosomal RNA